AAAAUUCCGACAAUUUUUUUGUUAUUUAUAUUAAAAACACAGAUGUAAAAAGUUGUAUAUAUAUUUUUUUAUAUUUUCGGAACUACAGCGGCUUGUGAGCGUAGUAGAGGAUAAAACUCUCGGAAUAACGAAAACUUAUUUAUAUUUCAAGACAGGUGCGCGUGUGACAAGCGACUCAAACUGUCUUAAAGUAAUCAAUCCCCAAACUCGCAAGCACAGACGACCUACUAAAUAAAAUAUUCCACAUCUAUAUUAUUUGGGGUUAUGUCGGAGGACACAAUACGGCCCUUUGGUCACAUCAAAGUAGGGACCUCAGGAUCAAUGGGUCGUGUGACUACGGACGGUCAAAGGAAAAUUUCAUAUACAAAUUAUUAUAUUUGUUAUAAAGAGAGCUUCAUGGACACACAAUCAGAGCAUUGGCACCUUGCGUUAUCAAACGCAAUAUUACGAACGAGCCGUCUGGUACGUUCAGGUAAACAAUUAAUCAGAAAUGAAGCUAAGAUAUUAAUAAAGAUAAAACUAUAAU